rnacentral:sRNA from 1 species
CAAUAGCUGACCAUCCUUCAUUUCAAUUGUAUGGAAAAAGGUAGGUGCCGCAGGGUGAACUACAUUAUAGUAGUGAUACAAUAUACAAAUUACUUAGUCUUUUACGAAUAAAUUCAUUGGUAAUUUGUUAGGGUAUUGCUAUUCAGGGUUGGUUGGUUGAAAUGGUUUUACCAACUCCAGUAGAGCCCUUUUUACAUUAAUUGCCGGUGUAUUGUACGGUCCGUACCGAGCAGAGCAAGCGAAGCAUGCUUGUUUCAUCAAUAUAACAAGAUAUACAAAAACACUUUGGUUUUGCACAAAAUAAAAUCGGGAAUGCAUACUUUUUCAUUUCUC